UAACGAGUCCAAAAAGGUAUAGUCUGGACUAACUAUGACUGAAUGUUAUGGGGUAAAAACAGCAAAAAUGGUGACAAAAGUCAGUUUCAGUUUGUACAGGAGUCAAAAGUGAAAGCUGCUCCAAUGUCAGGAAAAAAUUAUACAAAUUAUUGGUUGAAAUAAAUGGAAUAAUAAAUGAAAUGGU